rnacentral:rRNA from 1 species
UACGUAGGGGGCUAGCGUUGUCCGGAAUCAUUGGGCGUAAAGAGCGUGUAGGCGGCCCGGUAAGUCCGCUGUGAAAGUCGGGGGCUCAACCCUCGAAUGCCGGUGGAUACUGUCGGGCUAGAGUGCGGAAGAGGCGAGUGGAAUUCCUGGUGUAGCGGUGAAAUGCGCAGAUAUCAGGAGGAACACCGGUGGCGAAGGCGGAUCUCUGGGCCGUAACUGACGCUGAGGAGCGAAAGCAUGGGGAGCGAACAGG